rnacentral:rRNA from 1 species
UGAAUACGAGAUGCUACGGCGUCGAAGCAGUGUAUGUCAGACUUCCAAGAAAAGCUCGCAAUGUCAUAAAUAAAGAAUGCCUGUACCAUAACCGACACAGGUGGGUAGGUAGAGUAUACUAAGGGGCGCGAGAUAACUCUCUCUAAGGAACUCGGCAAAAUAACUCCGUAACUUCGGGAGAAGGAGUGCCUUCUUUAAGAAGGUUGCAAUAACAAGAUCCAAGCAACUGUUUAUCAAAAACACAGGUCUCCGCUAAGUCGUAAGACGAUGUAUGGGGGCUGACGCCUGCCCAGUGCCAGAAGGUUAAAGAAGUUGGUUAGCUUUUGCGAAGCUGAUGACUGAAGCCCUGGUGAACGGCAGCCGUAACAAUAACGGUCCUAAGGUAGCGAAAUUCCUUGUCGGGUAAGUUCCGACCCGCACGAAAGGCGUAAUGAUUUGGAUACUGUCUCGGAGAGGGACUCGGUGAAAUAGACUUGUCUGUGAAGAUGCGGACUACCUGCACCAGGACAGAAAGACCCUAUGAAGCUUUACUGUAACUUGAAAUUGAAAUUGGACUUUAUCUGCGCAGUAUAGGUGGAAGGCGUUGAAAGUAAUCUUGCGGGAUUAGUGGAGCCAUCAGUGAGAUACCACUCCUAUAAUGUUAGAUUUCUAACUUUGGAUCAUGAUCUGGUCAAAGAACAGUUUCAGGCGGGCAGUUUGACUGGGGCGGUCGCCUCCCAAAAGGUAACGGAGGCGUACAAAGGUUUCCUCUGAACGGGUAGAAAUCGUAUCUAGAGUGUAAAGGCAUAAGGAAGCUUGACUGUGAGACCUACAAGUCGAGCAGGGACGAAAGUCGGUCUUAGUGAUCUGACGGUGCUGAGUGGAAAGGCCGUCACUCAACGGAUAAAAGUUACUCUAGGAUAACAGGCUGAUCUCCCCCAAGAGUUCACAUCGACGGGGAGGUUUGGCACCUCGAUGUCGGCUCAUCGCAUCCUGGGGCGGUAGUACGUCCCAAGGGUUGGGCUGUUCGCCCAUGGAAGCGGUACGCGAGCUGGGUUCAGAACGUCGUGAGACAGUUCGGUCCAUAUCCGGUGUAGGCGUUAGAAUAUUGAGAGGAGCCUUCUUUAGUACGAGAGGACCGAGAAGGACAUACCUCUGGUGUACCAGUUAUCGUGCCAAUGGUAAACGCUGGGUAGCUAUGUAUGGAGAGGAUAACCGCUGAAAGCAUCUAAGUGGGAAGCCCACCUCAAGAUGAGUAUUCUC